CAAAGUGCGUCUGGGCCUCUCGGGCGCGCCCUCCUUCUUCCCGCUUCCUCAGCUCCCCCUCGGGCGCCGCCGCAGCCCCUGGAGGGGUGUCCUCGAGCUCGGCCUCCCCGCCCCCCUCGCCCCGUGCCCAGGGGCUGAGGUCGCGCCGUGCCCGGUUGGCCUCCUUCCAGCCCCGCGUGCGCCAUGUUGGGUCGGGCGCCCGCGGCGCGGCGGCGGCGCUUUCUCCGACGGAGGGGGGCAGGGGGAGGGGGAGGGGAGGUGGCCGGGCUGCGCGUCGUGCUCGCCGAGCGAGAAUAAUAAAGGUGUCCUUUCUUUGGGACGCUGCCCCGGGUCGCCGAGGCGGGCUGCCCUGGGUGCGCGGCCGCGGACAAACAAAGGGCCCGGCGCGGCAGCUCCUUGUCCCGGGCUGCGCGGAGUGGUAACCAUAGCAACGGCCUUUGCUCUUUCUCAAGAGUAGGGCUCGAACUCACAACUCCAAGAUCAAGUUUCUCAUACAGCUUCAACGUGGAUGGAACUGGAGGGUAUUAUGCUGAGUGAAGUCUUUGGGAGAACUUUGACUCAACUGCUGAACGAUUUGGGUGUUGGUAAUUUUCCACCAGGUUUCUCCUCCACUACUUCCCAAAGGCGGGGGGACUUGAAGCCCUUUGAUUUGUCUUCAACAUGAUUUUGACUGAAGUCUGCAUGGAAGAUUUUGUUUGUUCAUUCAUGAGAGACACAGAGAGAGGGUCAGAGACACGGGCAGAGGGAGAAGCAGGCUCCACGCAGGGAGCCCGAUGCGGGACUCAAUUCUGGGAUUCCAGGAUCAGGCCCUGAGCCGAAGGCAGGCGCUAAACCGCUGAGCCACCCAGGCGCAUCCGGAUGACCACAUUUCCACUUCAAAAUAGCAUAGUUUGGUGAUAAGGAGACAGUGAAUGAGACCACAUAGUUAAAAUGUGGUGUGUACGUGAAGCACCGCACCUUUGAUAUUUUCUGUACUUAAUAAAGAAUGGAAAAGAAAA